GACGAACGCUGGCGGCGUGCUUAACACAUGCAAGUCGAGCGGUAAGGCCCUUUCGGGGGUACGACGAGCGGCGAACGGGUGAGUAACACGUGGGUGACCUGCCCUCAGCUCUGGGAUAAGCCUGGGAAACCGGGUCUAAUACUGGAUAUGACUCCAUGACGCAUGUUGUGGGGUGGAAAGCCUUGUGCGGCUGAGGAUGGGCCCGCGGCCUAUCAGCUUGUUGGUGGGGUGAGGCCUACCAAGGCGACGACGGGUAGCCGGCCUGAGAGGGCGACCGGCCACACUGGGACUGAGACACGGCCCAGACUCCUACGGGAGGCAGCAGUGGGGAAUCUUGCGCAAUGGGCGAAAGCCUGACGCAGCGACGCCGCGUGAGGGAUGACGGCCUCGGUUGUAAC
rnacentral:rRNA from 1 species